AUUGAACGCUGGCGGCAGGCCUAACACAUGCAAGUCGAACGGUAACAGGAAGACGCUUGCUUCUUUGCUGACGAGUGGCGGACGGGUGAGUAAUGUCUGGGAAACUGCCUGAUGGAGGGGGAUAACUACUGGAAACGGUAGCUAAUACCGCAUAACGUCGCAAGACCAAAGAGGGGGACCUUCGGGCCUCUUGCCAUCGGAUGUGCCCAGAUGGGAUUAGCUAGUAGGUGGGGUAACGGCUCACCUAGGCGACGAUCCCUAGCUGGUCUGAGAGGAUGACCGGCCAAACUGGAACUGAGACACGGUCCAGACUCCUACGGGAGGCAGCAGUGGGGAAUAUUGCACAAUGGGCGCAAGCCUGAUGCAGCCAUGCCGCGUGUAUGAAGAAGGCCUUCGGGUUGUAAAGUACUUUCAGCGGGGAGGAAGGGAGUAAAGUUAAUACCUUUGCUCAUUGACGUUACCCGCAGAAGAAGCACCGGCUAACUCCGUG
rnacentral:rRNA from 1 species